CUGCUUCCUCACAAAAGAUGGUCUCGAGUUUGACGUGCUCAUGCUUGUAUUUCCUUCAUUCAAUACAUUAACAAGAAUUUCAUCUCGUAAUUUUGUUAAACCAUGUUUUGUUGAUUCUUCUCUAACAUUUUCAACAAAGCAACAUCCUUCAAAAUGACAAUAGCUUUUGUCAAAUAUAACUCUAGCAAUAGUUGUCUUUCCGAUACCACCCAUUCCCCAUAGGCC
rnacentral:misc_RNA from 1 species